CUACUCUUGCACAGAAUCACCUUUCUAUAAUAACCAGUGCAAGAAGGGUUAUUAUACCA
rfam:Bulbul coronavirus HKT11-934, complete genome